UAAACUACAUUGAAACGAGAAUUACUUA
rnacentral:piRNA from 1 species